UUACGUGGGACGUAAAGCGCAUGCAGGUGGUUUAGUUAAGUCAGAUGUAGAAACGGCCCGGGGCUACCAACCCGUACGGUAAUUGCUAUUUAGAAACGUGGACAAACUAGAGUACUGUAGAGGGGGUAGAAUUUCAGGUGUAGCGGUGAAAUGCGUAGAGAUCUGAAGGAAUACCGGUGGCGAAGGCGGCCCCCUGGACAGAUACUGACACUCAGAUGCGAAAGCGUGGGGAGCAAACAGGAUUAGAUACCCUGGUAG
rnacentral:rRNA from 1 species